rnacentral:rRNA from 1 species
AACGCGUGGGAACCUGCCCUUAGGUUCGGAAUAACAGUUAGAAAUGACUGCUAAUGCCGGAUAAUGUCUUCGGACCAAAGAUUUAUCGCCUUUGGACGGGCCCGCGUAGGAUUAGCUAGUUGGUGUGGUAAUGGCGCACCAAGGCGACGAUCCUUAGCUGGUCUGAGAGGAUGAUCAGCCACACUGGGACUGAGACACGGCCCAGACUCCUACGGGAGGCAGCAGUAGGGAAUAUUGGACAAUGGGCGAAAGCCUGAUCCAGCAAUGCCGCGUGAGUGAUGAAGGCCUUAGGGUUGUAAAGCUCUUUUACCAGGGAUGAUAAUGACAGUACCUGGAGAAUAAGCUCCGGCUAACUCCGUGCCAGCAGCCGCGGUAAUACGGAGGGAGCUAGCGUUGUUCGGAAUUACUGGGCGUAAAGCGCGCGUAGGCGGCUUUUCAAGUCAGGGGUGAAAUCCCGGGGCUCAACCCCGGAACUGCCCUUGAAACUGGAUGGCUAGAAUACUGGAGAGGUGAGUGGAAUUCCGAGUGUAGAGGUGAAAUUCGUAGAUAUUCGGAAGAACACCAGUG